rnacentral:rRNA from 1 species
GACGAACGCUGGCGGCGUGCUUAACACAUGCAAGUCGAACGAUGAAGCUAGAGCUUGCUCUGGUGAAUUAGUGGCGAACGGGUGAGUAACACGUGAGUAACCUGCCCCGAACUCUGGGAUAACUGCUGGAAACGGUAGCUAAUACUGGAUACGACCUACGAAGGCAUCUUCUGUAGGUGGAAAGAAUUUCGGUUCGGGAUGGACUCGCGGCCUAUCAGCUUGUUGGUGAGGUAAUGGCUCACCAAGGCGACGACGGGUAGCUGGCCUGAGAGGGUGACCGGCCACACUGGGACUGAGACACGGCCCAGACUCCUACGGGAGGCAGCAGUGGGGAAUAUUGCACAAUGGGCGCAAGCCUGAUGCAGCAACGCCGCGUGAGGGAUGACGGCCUUCGGGUUGUAAACCUCUUUUAGUAGGGAAGAAGCGAAAGUGACGGUACCUACGGAAAAAGCACCGGCUAACUACGUGCCAGCCGCCGCAGUAA